rnacentral:rRNA from 1 species
AUGUGAAUUGCAGAAUUCAGUGAAUCAUCGAAUCUUUGAACGCACAUUGCGCCCUGUGGUAUUCCGCAGGGCAUGCCUGUUCGAGCGUCAUUU